GUACGGUUUUAAACAGUAAACAUAUUGCAUUGUAGUAUCAAAGAGUAGAUAAAUUGUAAACAACAACAAAAGUCCAUUAUUUAGAGCUUUUAGAAGAGAAACUAAUAUUCUGCAUGCAAAAAAAGUUUCACAGAACCUAAACGUAAACUAUAUUGAUCUGUUAAAUUUUACUUUCACUGUAUGUAAUGCAUUUAUACUAUGAUAGAAUAAAGUUCAACAAAAAAAACCAAGGCCCUGUUUACACAGAGAAAUCAAGAUUCAUGAUUGAAAGUUACAAAGUGACUGGUUUUGCAGUCUCAUGCAGGCUGGGUUUAGGAAACUCAGGUGGUGAGCCUCUGAAUAACUGUUAUGCAGUUAUUUCUUGCAUAGAGAUGAAUGAAUCCGAUAUGUUAAUUCAGUAAAUCGUCCAAAAGACAUGCUAAUGUAUUUAUUCCACCAAAUUAUUUUGGCAUUCACAAAUAUUUGAUCACGCCUUUACUACAUCGAAACUGGAGAGCAGCUGUUGAGAUUUGGGAAUCUUGCAGAGACUUGGAGGGUUUAUCCCUGCUGUAACCAAAGUAGAAUGUAGUUAAAUACUAUUUUAUUUUGAUAGUUUUAAUAGUUAAAUUCUGAACUGAAUUGGCAAAUUCAAUGUUGAGGAAUUGUUAUUUAGUCUCUGCUCAGGUUAGUAAGACAGGGAACAUAAUGAGGAAAGAAAUGUUUGGUGAUAGCCAGACAUUUUGUUGCCUUUUCUUUUUGUAGAUUUUAAAUGACAGUGUGUGAAAGUCUGCAAAAAAUAACUAGCUACAUUUUAGGCAUUCUGUAUUAGUAGAUAGUGUGUUUGUAUCAACUGAUUAGUAUUUCACAGAACAAAACAGGAUAAUGUAGAUGCAUACGAAACGUGUAUCUUGAACAGACUGCAAACUACAGAACAAUUCAAAACGUCUUUCAUCUGUUCUAACACAACAUUUUGUUUUGACUAGCUCAAGGCUUGACGGUCCUGCAAAUUGCAUAACUUGCAAUAUAGUAUACUAUUUAUGUCACACCGCACAUACACACGGUGGAGAGGAAGGAACCAUUCGAAACCUAAAGUUAAAAAUCGCCCAAUUAUUUUGUUUUGCUGCAAGUUUCUAAGUAACAUUGUAUUUUAGUGCAGUCAUAAAAUUUGCUUCCAGUGGAGUAUGUACUAAAAAAAAUAAUUAAAUUUUGUGAUUAUAUUUCCUAUGGGUUCAGUAUAUCAGAUUUUAAUGUUUAAAAGAAAAGUGCGGACUAAUCUAAGCACUCAAUUGAAAAUUACUGCAAAAUAUAGUCUUUACUUGGAGCAACUGAUGCCUGGGAACAUAUGUUGGGGCUGUAAAUAAUU